rnacentral:tRNA from 1 species
GUUUUAAUAGUUUAAUAAAAACAUCGGUCUUGUAAGCCAAAAAUAAGAAAAUUUUUCUUUUAAAACU